GUAUUUACCUGGCAGGGAAAACACCAAGAUCACAAAGGUGGUUUUCCCAGGGCAAGGUUCAUCCAUUGCACUCCAGAUGUGCUGACCCCUGCGAUUUCUUCAUAUGUGGGGAACUGCACUCACACUCUCCCCAG
rnacentral:snRNA from 10 species